GGCCCAUUAGCUCAGUUGGUUAGAGCGUUGAGCUAAUAACGCGAAGGUCUUGGGUUCGAUCCCCAUGGGCCA
rnacentral:tRNA from 1 species